rnacentral:rRNA from 1 species
CUACGGGAGGCUCCAGUGGGGAAUAUUGCACAGUGGAGGAAACUCUGAUGCAGCAACGCCGCGUGGAGGAUGACACUUUUCAGAGCGUAAACUCCUUUUAUAUAGGAAGAAGAUGACGGUACUAUAUGAAUAAGCGCCGGCUAACUCCGUGCCAGCAGCCGCGGUAAUAUGGAGGGCGCAAGCGUUACUCGGAAUCACUGGGCGUAAAGAGCGUGUAGGCGGAUUAAAAAGUCAGAAGUGAAAUCCUAUAGCUUAACUAUAGAACUGCUUCUGAAACUCUUAAUCUAGAAUAUGGGAGAGGUAGAUGGAAUUUCUGGUGUAGGGGUAAAAUCCGUAGAGAUCAGAAGGAAUACCGAUUGCGAAGGCGAUCUACUAGAACAUUAUUGACGCUGAGACGCGAAAGCGUGGGGAGCAAACAGGAUUAGAUACCCUCGUAGUC